UACGGGGGGGGCAAGCGUUGUUCGGAUUCAUUGGGCGUAAAGGGUGCGUAGGCGGCGCGGUAAGUCGGGUGUGAAAUCUCGGAGCUUAACUCCGAAACUGCAUUCGAUACUGCGGUGCUUGAGGACUGGAGAGGAGACUGGAAUUCAUGGUGUAGCAGUGAAAUGCGUAGAGAUCAUGAGGAAGACCAGUGGCGAAGGCGGGUCUCUGGACAGUUCCUGACACUGAGACACGGAAGGCCAGGGGAGCAAACGGG
rnacentral:rRNA from 1 species